rnacentral:lncRNA from 1 species
GAUCAGCCCCCGGGAGACAGGGUUGUUCUUCAUAUAGAUACCUGGGGGAGGCGCCGACGAGGAUGAGCUUGAGGAAGAGCUCAGGGCGGCGGAUGGCGGCUAUGAUGCCGAUCAUGGCGGAGACGGAGUGGCCGACGAAGAAGCAGCGGUCGAUGUGGAGGGCGUCGAGGAUGUCUAGGAGGUCGUCGACGUAGGCGUCGAGGGUGGUGUAACGACGGAAGUCGAAGUGGUCCGGGUUGACGCUGCCGGCGCAGACCAAGUCGUAGAGGACGACGCGGUAGUCGCGUUGGAAGUAGGGGAGGACGCGGUUCCAUGCCGACUGAUCCGUGCCGAAGCCGUGCGACAGCACCACCACCCGCUCCCCGCUACCCACCACCCGCACGUUCAGCAACUCCAGCAGCUUGCCGCUGCUUCUUCCACCGCCUCCCGCCUCCGCCGCCGCCGCUGCUGCUGCGUUAACGAUGCUGCUGCCCCCCAUGUCUGACGCUCACCCUAUAUUACUCGUCUUAAAUAGAGUAAAAACACUAGAGAGCAGAAGGUGAGAACUUGCUACUAUAUGCAUAUCUAUAUAUCUAUA